UACGUAGGGUGCGAGCGUUAAUCGGAAUUACUGGGCGUAAAGCGCGCGUAGGCGGCCCGGUAAGUCCGUUGUGAAAGUCAAAGGCUCAACCUUUGAACGCCGAUGGAUACUGCCGGGCUCGAGUCCGGAAGAGGCGAGUGGAAUUCCCGGUGUAGCGGUGAAAUGCGCAGAUAAUCGGGAGGAACACCUAUGGCGAAGGCAGCUCGCUGGGACGUUACUGACGCUGAGACGCGAAAGCGUGGGGAGCAAACAGG
rnacentral:rRNA from 1 species